UCCCUCAUAGCUUAUUUGGUAAAGAAUCUGCCUGCAAUGCAGGAGCCCCUGGUUUGAUCCCUGGUUUGGGAA
rnacentral:tRNA from 1 species